CAGGGAUAGCUCAGUUGCGAGAACGUAAGACUUGUGACCUCAAGGUACGUUGGUUCAAAUCUGGGUUU
rnacentral:tRNA from 12 species